rnacentral:tRNA from 1 species
GGCGUGUACAGCUCAGUGGUAGAGCACAUGCUUAGCAUGCAUGAGGUUCUGGGUUCAAUCCCCAGUCCCUCCU